UACGAAGGGGGCUAGCGUUGCUCGGAAUUACUGGGCGUAAAGCGCACGUAGGCGGCUUUCUAAGUCGGGGGUGAAAUCCUGGAGCUCAACUCCAGAACUGCCUCGAUACUGGAAGCUCGAGUCCGGGAGAGGUGAGUGGAACUGCGAGUGUAGAGGUGAAAUUCGUAGAUAUUCGCAAGAACACCAGUGGCGAAGGCGGCUCA
rnacentral:rRNA from 1 species